rnacentral:rRNA from 1 species
ACUGUGGGUGCUAAGGUUCAUAGUCGAAAGGGAAACAGCCCAGACCGCCAGCUAAGGUCCCUAAGUUAUGGCUAAGUGGAAAAGGAAGUGAGAAGGCCAAGACAACCAGGAGGUUGGCUUAGAAGCAGCCAUCCUUUAAAGAAAGCGUAACAGCUCACUGGUCUAGAUUUAAGCCAUCUCGCGCCGAAGAUGUACCGGGGCUCAAGCCAUACACCGAAGCUGCGGACGCAUGCUUGCAUGCGUGGUAGCGGAGCGUUCCGUAAGCCUGUGAAGGUGUACCGCGAGGUAUGCUGGAGGUAUCGGAAGUGAGAAUGCUGACAUGAGUAGCGAUAAACAGUGUGAGAAACACUGUCGCCGAAAGUCCAAGGGUUCCUGUGCAAGGUUAAUCCGCGCAGGGUGAGUCGGCCCCUAAGGCGAGGGCGAAAGCCGUAGUCGAUGGGAAUCAGGUUAAUAUUCCUGAACCUGCUGGUGGUGACGAAUGCCGUAAGUUGUUCUUCCUUAUUGGAUUGGAAGGGCUGCGAAGGCGUUCCAGGAAAUAGCCCCAGCAUUAUAGACCGUACCCGAAACCGACACAGGUGGACAGGAAGAGAAUACCAAGGCGCUUGAGAGAACGGUGUUGAAGGAACUCGGCAAAAUUCCCCCGUAACUUCGGGAUAAGGGGGCCCCACAUCCGGGCAACCGGAUGUGGGGGGCACAGACUUGGGGGUGGCGACUGUUUACUAAAAACGUAGGGCUCUGCGAAGUCGCAAGACGACGUAUAGGGUCUGACGCCUGCCCGGUGCCGGAAGGUUAAGGAGAAGGGUGAGAGCUCUGAACCGAAGCCCCGGUAAACGGCGGCCGUAACUAUAACGGUCCUAAGGUAGCGAAAUUCCUUGUCGGGUAAGUUCCGACCUGCACGAAUGGCGUAACGACUUCCCCGCUGUCUCCAACACCGACUCAGCGAAAUUGAACUCUCCGUGAAGAUGCGGAGUACCCGCGGUUAGACGGAAAGACCCCGUGCACCUUUACUACAGCUUUGCAGUGGUAUUAGGAGACGAAUGUGUAGGAUAGGCGGAAGCCUUUGAAGCCAUGGCGCCAGUUAUGGUGGAGGCACCCUUGAAAUACCGCCCCUUUGUUUUCUGGUAUCUAACCGUGGCCCGUUAUCCGGGUCCGGGACCCUGCAUGGUGGGUAGUUUGACUGGGGCGGUCGCCUCCCAAAGAGUAACGGAGGCGCGCAAAGGUGGGCUCAGGCUGGUCGGAAAUCAGCUGUGGAGUGCAAUGGCAUAAGCCCGCCUGACUGUGAGAGUGACGGUUCGAGCAGAGACGAAAGUCGGUCAUAGUGAUCCGGUGGUCCCGAGUGGAAGGGCCAUCGCUCAACGGAUAAAAGGUACGCCGGGGAUAACAGGCUAAUACCCCCCAAGAGUCCAUAUCGACGGGGGUGUUUGGCACCUCGAUGUCGGCUCAUCUCAUCCUGGGGCUGGAGCAGGUCCCAAGGGUUUGGCUGUUCGCCAAUUAAAGAGGUACGUGAGCUGGGUUUAGAACGUCGUGAGACAGUUCGGUCCCUAUCUGCCGUGGGUGUUGGAGAAUUGAGAGGAGCUGCCCUUAGUACGAGAGGACCGGGGUGGACGUACCUCUGGUGUACCGGUUGUGACGCCAGUCGCAGCGCCGGGUAGCUAAGUACGGACGGGAUAACCGCUGAAAGCAUCUAAGCGGGAAGCCUCCCUCAAGACGGGUUCUCCCUUGAGAGUCGUGGAAGACCACCACGUUGAUAGGCCGGGUGUGGAAGCGCAGUAAUGUGUGAAGCUAACCGGUCCUAAUCACUCGAUUGACUUGAUUGC